CCCAUGACGGAGCGGGAUGCGUCUUUCGAUUCUCUUCUCGCAAGCCGACCCAUCAUCGAUGAUACGAUAGGGAGGGCGCGGCGGGGCGCACCCGCCGGCAUCCUCCGCAUCCGAAAGCGCGCUGCGGCGCCGAGGUCCGCGUGCCCCCCCACCCCAGCGGGGGGCAACGACGCACGGCUACCAUCCGAGUGCCCGCCGCACCACUAUAUCCCCGCAGCCCGGGGGCUGCCGGGGCGUGGGCGGCCGGGUGCACAACUCAAUCCACUAGUGCCAGUACCCCGAAACCUGCACAGGGUAGGAAGCACAGGCAACACAUACUCGGACCGCGAGGGAGGAGCUUGAGCCCGGACCUCCGGCCAACAAUGCAAAGGCGAAGUCCCGUGACGGUUGGCUGCAGGAAUCCUACAGGGAGCCCGCCAG
rnacentral:misc_RNA from 1 species